ACACUGCUGAGGAGUCUCAUGCUAAGACGAAACGGCAGUCCAGUGU
rnacentral:hammerhead_ribozyme from 1 species